rnacentral:tRNA from 1 species
AUUCAUAUAGUUUAUAAAUAAAACAUUUUAUUUUCAUUAAAAAAAAAGUUAAGAACUUAUGAAUU